rnacentral:rRNA from 1 species
UACGGAGGGUGCAAGCGUUAUCCGGAUUCACUGGGGUUAAAGGGUGCGUAGGAGGGCAGGUAAGUCAGUGGUGAAAUCUUCGAGCUUAACUCGGAAACUGCCGUUGAUACUAUCUGUCUUGAAUACCGUGGAGGUGAGCGGAAUAUGUCAUGUAGCGGUGAAAUGCUUAGAUAUGACAUAGAACACCAAUUGCGAAGGCAGCUCGCUACACGAAUAUUGACUCUGAGGCACGAAAGCGUGGGGAUCAAACAGG